AGUGAACGCUGGCGGUAGGCCUAACACAUGCAAGUCGAACGGCAGCACAGUAAGAGCUUGCUCUUACGGGUGGCGAGUGGCGGACGGGUGAGGAAUACAUCGGAAUCUACUUUUUCGUGGGGGAUAACGUAGGGAAACUUACGCUAAUACCGCAUACGACCUACGGGUGAAAGCAGGGGAUCUUCGGACCUUGCGCGAUUGAAUGAGCCGAUGUCGGAUUAGCUAGUUGGCGGGGUAAAGGCCCAUCAAGGCGACGAUCCGUAGCUGGUCUGAGAGGAUGAUCAGCCACACUGGAACUGAGACACGGUCCAGACUCCUACGGGAGGCAGCAGUGGGGAUUAUUGGACAAUGGGCGCAAGCCUGAUCCAGCCAUACCGCGUGGGUGAAGAAGGCCUUCGGGUUGUAAAGCCCUUUUGUUGGGAAAGAAAAGCAGCAGGUUAAUACCACGCUGUUCUGACGGUACCCAAAGAAUAAGCACCGGCUAACUUCGUG
rnacentral:rRNA from 1 species